rnacentral:lncRNA from 1 species
CACGUUGUCCCGAUCUUCACGACGUAGGAUGAACACCGAUAACUAGCUGAAGAAUAGCCGGAUAACUUGCUGCAAGCAGCGAUAACUAGUGCAACCUGGCAAAUAAAACUCGAAGCCAACCACCGUCUUUAACCGGCAACCUGAAUCGAGGAUUCGCCCAACCACACUCUCAAGGAACCAACCAACACAGCCUACAAUCAAUCAAGGAAUACCUUGAAGGGAGUAGGAGCACCAAUUGGGAGCGGAUGAAGCCGCCGCCUAUGUAAUCCCGCGAGGAAAUCACAAGAGCAAAGGGGUAGAGAUCACUCUCUGAAUUUGUUAGCACGCAGCUGAACAAAGGGGUUCUGUAUUUCAAUUAUCAAAGUCUUAGAUUACAAUGAGUCUUAGGGGGUAUUUAUACUAGCAACAGCCCUGCUAGAUAGGUAUGAAAACGAAAUAGAGUUUCUGAGGGAAGGCAAUG